rnacentral:rRNA from 1 species
UACGGAGGGAGCUAGCGUUGUUCGGAAUUACUGGGCGUAAAGCGCACGUAGGCGGCUAUUCAAGUCGGGGGUGAAAGCCCGGGGCUCAACCCCGGAACAGCCCUCGAAACUAGAUAGCUAGAAUCUUGGAGAGGCGAGUGGAAUUCCGAGUGUAGAGGUGAAAUUCGUAGAUAUUCGGAAGAACACCAGUGGCGAAGGCGACUAACUGGACAUGUAUUGACGCUGAGGUGCGAAAGCGUGGGGGCAAACAGG